ensembl:lncRNA
CGACUCCUUGCAACGACCCGUUCACACCGCCCCUUGCGACGUUCUAAAACCGUCUCGUUGCAAGAUGAAUCUUUGGUCUGACCUGGGCUUAAGACAGAUUGCAAACAGAAUAUACCCUUUACUCAGAAACCCCAUUCCUACUAGGGAGAGACAUUCAGAGUCGUCUGCAUCGGUGGACAUUUUACCCUUUGGCGUACCGGUGUGGGUGUCAGAUUGACUCGGCUGCCAGAUCGACUCGGGUUCCUUGAUGCGCAAUGAUGACGCACUUCCUGUAAAAAAAAGUUUCAUUCAUUCCUAUGUUAUUCCGCAAUUUAGAAAUGGAAGCGUUUUACACUGAAGUGAAGCAUUACCUGAAGCUAAACCAAUACCACAGCCUAACCACCACCGCCCUCAACCCAGAAGGCAGGAAGGGUUACAUAAGGAAGGUCUCAAAGAUCAACCUUCUGGGUAGGGCAGAUGAGGAGCUGUAUUGUCGGCACCAAAACCAUACAAGGUUGGUUGUGUGCACCAACGAGUGGGCUCGUGAUGUCCGCCGCCCGAAGACAUGGAAAAGACAUCCACGUUGUUGACGCACAUGUGGUUCCAACUUGGAAGUCUGAAACAGUGGACCCAAUGGCUGGUCUUCCAGGACCUAGCACAGCGCAUUGCCCCAGGCCAGUGGAGAACUUAGCAUGGCAGAGACUUCGAGGGUUUCCCGUGCCAAACCACCGGCAAUUACUGUGGUGUCCUCAUCCUGAUGCCAUGGAUGGAGGCUUGCGUACUGGACCAACGAAGCCCGAGCAUUGCUUGCAGGGUUGCUGGAGCCAGUGUAUAGGGUCCCAAAGGCAAGAAAGACCGAACGGCAAAGGACACCCACUGGACACUGGGCAUCAGUGCCACUCUCCCC